AGAUACUUCAUUGGGGAGUAGCCGCUGUUCUCAGAGAACAGGUGAUGGUCAACAUAUUUGCUUUAAAACAAGCAUGGUCAUCAUAGCAAAGAACCAAAUGAGCUUUCUCUAAGCUUUCUUUUGUUGGCAAGACCUUUGAU
rfam:Acinetobacter equi strain 114, complete genome.